UUAAACCUUAUCUCUCAAUAACUUAAAGAGGGAAAAGACAUAAAUGGAGACUUUGACAUCAGACUAUGCAAAUUAGGAAACCACAUGCUAUUAGUCCCUUUACCCAAGUUCAUAUGUUCAAAUCCUACCUUCUGAGAUGAUGGUUUAAGAGAUUGGGACUUUAAUAGAUUAUUAGACUGAGACGAGUGCCCCUAUAAGAUAUUUCUAAAAAUUCUCACUGGAUUUUUAUUUUUCUUUCUUUCUUUUUUUCCUUUUCUUUCUUUCUUUCUUUCUUUCUUUCUUUCUUUCUUUCUUUCUUUCUGUCUUUUUGUAGUAGGAAUUAAACUUAGGGGUGUUUUACCACUGAGUACAUCCCCAAUUCUUUAUUUACUUUUUUGCUUUUAGACAGGGUCUCACUAAAUUACUUAGGCCUUGCUAAGUUGCUGAGGCUGCUUUUGAACUUCGAUCCUCCUGCCUCAGCUUCCUGAGUCACUGGGAUUACAGGUGUACACUAUUGCACCCAGCCUCACUUGCCCCUUCUGCUAUUGAAGUUAUAGUGAAAAGAUGGCCUUCUAGAGAAUAGGCUCUGCAAAAGUCACAUCUGCUGGUGUCCUGAUCUCAGUUUUUCUAAGCCCCAGAACUAAGAGAAAGAAAUUUCUGCUGUUUAUAAUUCAACCAAUUUAUAGAAUGCUGUUAAAACAACCCCAAAUGGACUAAGAUAGAAAAUAGAUACCAGGAGAAGGGUACGGUACUGGUGUAACCAGUAUGGAAACAGCUUUGGAACUGCAAAAUGGAUACAGGCUGCAAAGAUUUUCUGCUGUGUGCUAUAAAAGGUCCAUACAAUCAUGGACAGAACGUGAAGAAUGAUUCUUGCAGAGGCCCAAAAGGAAA
rnacentral:lncRNA from 1 species